GACGAACGCUGGCGGCGUGCUUAACACAUGCAAGUCGAACGGAAAGGCCCUGCUUUUGUGGGGUGCUCGAGUGGCGAACGGGUGAUUAACACGUGAGUAACCUGCCCUUGACUUUGGGAUAACUUCAGGAAACUGGGGCUAAUACCGGAUAGGAGCUCCUGCUGCAUGGUGGGGGUUGGAAAGUUUCGGCGGUUGGGGAUGGACUCGCGGCUUAUCAGCUUGUUGGUGGGGUAGUGGCUUACCAAGGCUUUGACGGGUAGCCGGCCUGCGAGGGGGACCGGCCACAUUGGGACUGAGAUACGGCCCAGACUCCUACGGGAGGCAGCAGUGGGGAAUAUUGCACAAUGGGCGGAAGCCUGAUGCAGCAACGCCGCGUGCGGGAUGACGGCCUGCGGGUUGUAAACCGCUUUCGCCUGUGACGAAGCGUGAGUGACGGUAAUGGGUAAAGAAGCACCGGCUAACUACGUG
rnacentral:rRNA from 1 species